rnacentral:rRNA from 1 species
CAGGACAGAUGGGAGCUUGCUCCCUGAUGUUAGCGGCGGACGGGUGAGUAACACGUGGGUAACCUGCCUGUAAGACUGGGAUAACUCCGGGAAACCGGGGCUAAUACCGGAUGGUUGUUUGAACCGCAUGGUUCAAACAUAAAAGGUGGCUUCGGCUACCACUUACAGAUGGACCCGCGGCGCAUUAGCUAGUUGGUGAGGUAACGGCUCACCAAGGCAACGAUGCGUAGCCGACCUGAGAGGGUGAUCGGCCACACUGGGACUGAGACACGGCCCAGACUCCUACGGGAGGCAGCAGUAGGGAAUCUUCCGCAAUGGACGAAAGUCUGACGGAGCAACGCCGCGUGAGUGAUGAAGGUUUUCGGAUCGUAAAGCUCUGUUGUUAGGGAAGAACAAGUACCGUUCGAAUAGGGCGGUACCUUGACGGUACCUAACCAGAAAGCCACGGCUAACUACGUGCCAGCAGCCGCGGUAAUACGUAGGUGGCAAGCGUUGUCCGGAAUUAUUGGGCGUAAAGGGCUCGCAGGCGGUUUCUUAAGUCUGAUGUGAAAGCCCCCGGCUCAACCGGGGAGGGUCAUUGGAAACUGGGGAACUUGAGUGCAGAAGAGGAGAGUGGAAUUCCACGUGUAGCGGUGAAAUGCGUAGAGAUGUGGAGGAACACCAGUGGCGAAGGCGACUCUCUGGUCUGUAACUGACGCUGAGGAGCGAAAGCGUGGGGAGCGAACAGGAUUAGAUACCCUGGUAGUCCACGCCGUAAACGAUGAGUGCUAAGUGUUAGGGGGUUUCCGCCCCUUAGUGCUGCAGCUAACGCAUUAAGCACUCCGCCUGGGGAGUACGGUCGCAAGACUGAAACUCAAAGGAAUUGACGGGGGCCCGCACAAGCGGUGGAGCAUGUGG